rnacentral:lncRNA from 1 species
ACAAAGUUUAUAUUAGAGCGUCAUCCAUUAAUGCUUUGGCUAGGAGGGACAGGGUCUAUCGCCCUGGUUGGAGUGCAGCAGUGUAAUCAUAGCUCACUGCUGCCAUGAACUUCUGGGCUCAAGCGAUCCUCCCACCUCAGCCUCCCUGUGUGCUGGGAUUAAAAGUGUGAGCCACCGUGCCUCAUCGUAAGGGUCUUAAAAGAAACCCUAUUUCAUACUUUCUUGAUGCACUUGAUAUGGAUUAUAUAAAUCUAUGGACAAAAAUGACAUCAGUACAAUGGAAUAUUGGAGUUUUCUACCAUAAUCUCUGCAUAGUGCACUGAUUUUGACAAUCACCUAUGGAUGAAAAUACAUUUGCCAGAGUCUAGGAGUUAAAUGGAAAAGUUAACAGCACACCGUUGGAGAAAAAUAUCUGGGAGUAGAUGCAUUCAAGGGAGUAAGAAGAACAAUUACCUGCAUCACCUCACCCCCAGGGUCCACUUCUUAGUGCCAAGAUAGACUCCCUUCAGCAGGCAAUUUCUCCCAUGGGGAAAAGGAGAGUAUAAUGAGUGAGUAUCCAGCUUUUCCAGCUGUGUGAGGCACAUCCCAAGAAGCCCAUCUUUCUUUCACUCAACUCAGAAUAUUGAGGGUAUUAGCAUGGCUAAGUGGCUGGGACAGGGCAGUAGCAGGAAAGAAAGGAGAGGACUCACAGCAACCAGGACUUGAAACUCAGUACAGGGUACAUAUCCUUUGAAGCAUUUCACAGAGCCCAUCAGGAGGCCCACCCAUGAACCACUUGGGACACCAUAUCUGUAGCAUCUCCCUGCAACUGGCCCAUAGGAGCCCCCGAUGUUUUGUGCAUAUUCCCCUUCCCUUUCUCCUAUAGUCAGUUGCCUGCACAUGCACUCCAGAUGGUGAGUGUGAGCAUUUACCUACAGCUUUUGAGUACAUGCAGUCAGCAGGCUCAACUUUGAAGGAUUGGGAGGAAUACAAAAUUGAGCAUUUCAGGGCACUGUCCUAGAGGAAACAAACAGAAAGCUUUCAGGACCCAGUUUGGUUUUGUGGAUUUAAGAGAAGACACACAAUCAUCAGAAUUUCUUCUCCACCCAUCCAAGAAGUGUGGAUUGGGUGAAUCCAUAGAAAAGAUCUGAGAGAGCCUCAGAUUCCCUAUAGGCUCACUGUUGAAGAUAUUUCUCUCAAAUCCAGUCAGUAAAGACUAGAGAAAGUGACUCUUUCUUCAAAUGUGAAGACAGCAGUGCAAGACUUUGAGGAACAUGAAAAAUCAAGGACACCUAGUACCACCAAAGGAACAUAAUUUUCUGGUACCCAACCACAAAGAAAUGGAGAUACACAAAUUGUCUGACAAAGAAUUCACAACAAUUGUUUUAAGGAAGUCAGUAAGCUACAAGAGAACACAGAGAACUUAAUGAUAUUAAGAAAGCGACACAUGAACAAAAUAAGAUGUUCAACAAAAAGAUAGAAAUUAUUAAAAACAACCAUGAUUUUCGAGCUGAGAAUACAAUGAAUGAAAUGGAAAACACAAUAGAGUUUCAAUAGCAGACUUGAUCAAGCAGAAGAAAGGGUCUGUCAACUCAAAUACUAGUCAUUUGAAAUUAUUCAGUAAAAGAAAUAAAAAGGAAUGAAAAAUGCUUAUGCGAUUGAUGCAACACCAUGAAGAGUAGUCAUAUAUGCACUAUGGGAGUCUCAGAAAAAGAAAGAGAUAAAGGGGAAGAAAACUAACUUAAAGAACUAGAUCAGUCUCUCCUUAUCUGUAGUUUUGCUUUCCUUGGUUUCAGGUACAGUACAAUGAUAUGUUUUAAGAGACAGACAAUGAAAGAGAACAUGCAAAUAUUGACAUAAUUUUUAUUACAGUAUAUUGUCAUAGUUUUUCUAUUUUGUUAUUAGUUGUUAUUCUCUUACUGUGCCUAAUUUAUACAUUAAACUUUAUCAUAGGAAUAGUGGUGGUGGCCUGUCUGGAGUGGCCACUGCCAGGAUGCCAGCUGCAGCAGGGGAGGUGUAGCUGGGGCUGUGCACUCCGCAGAGCUGGGGGGGGCCAGGAACAGGUGAUCCUAGUGGGAGCCCUAUAUGCUACUGAGUUAGUGGGGUGGGAGCCUGUGCUCCCAGGCAUAGCUGCAGCUGCCCAGCCAUGGCUCCAGCCCUAGGCAUACCUGUGCUCUCAGGGGCCCUGGAAGUCCCCUGCCCUUACAGGCUUGGAAGUGCCUGCUCCCAUUCCCUGGCCUCUUUCCACUGCUGGCACCUGCUCUGUGGCAGAGCAAAGUUGUGGAUGUGUUGUGAUAGCUGAGCCUGGGAGCUGUUGUGACGUGGUCAGGUGUGUGUGUUCAGGGCAGUUCUGAUACACCAGACUCCCCACUGCCUUUGCCCCCUCUGGAAACUGCUUCUGAGGCUGAAACUUUGGAUAUUAAUGAGCAAGGAUGGUGGGGGAGGCCAGGACGGCUGAGGGCAGCUAGGUGUGGGCCUGUGGACACCCCUUAGUGCGGACAGUCUGGGUGCUGUGGAUGGCAUGUUGAUGGCAGCGAGAGGCAGACAUGUUCCUAGGUGGGAACGGGUGGGUCCCUGGUGAAACCUCACCUUCAAGCCAGGGACAGCUUGAAGCAUGGGGGCCUGGCUGCCAGUUCCGGUUGCAGUCUGUGACCUGGAGUGAAAACUUCAUUGAUGUCUUUCAGCCAAUUGGAUGGUGCUUUUUCCAGACCCACAAAUGGCUGCCCAUGGACCAAGCAGUAUGUACUUCCUCCAUUCUGAGCCCAUGAAAACCCCAGACUCAGUCAGACUCUGACACUCAUCAGGAUGACAAGCCUGCAAAUAGGAUCUACCCAUUUUGGGUAUGCACUCCACUGAGAGCUAUUCUGUCACUCAAUAAAGCUCCUUUCUGCCUUGCUCACCCUCCAGUUAUUCACAUAACCUCAUUCUUCCUGGAUGUGGGACAAGAACUCAGGACCUGCUGAAUGGUGGGAGGGAAAGAAGCUGUAACAUGUUCCUGGCCAGCUCACCAAGCUGCAGGUGGUGACAUACUCCUGGACUAUGGGAGUGAAGAGUAGUGACCCUUCUGGGGGCCCAGACCUUGAGAUUCUCCGAGCCAGAGCUGCAGUAACACUAUAGCUCUCCUGCCCUCUGCUGGUGCUGGGUGGCCCCCCAAUGCAACAGGACGCAGCAGCAGGCCUGGGCCAGCCCAGGAGCUGGGAGCCUGAGUGGGGUGGUGGAACUGAAAGGGCUAUAACACAAACCAACCAAAACAUGCCCCACUCACUUGCUGCACUGUGGGUGAGGAGAAGGAGAAAAGAGCUGCAGCCCUUCUAGGAAGCCAGACUUUGGGGCUCCCUGAACUAGGGCUGUGACAUGCUGUAACACCUUCUUUAGGAUUCUGCACUUCCUGGCCUCUCUGAGAUUUUGGAUGCCACCGUGUUCCCUUUGUCCAGAUGCUGGUGUCCGCAGCAGAAGCCACUUGUGAUAUAUCUGGUCCAGCUGCAGCUUCACAUGGAUGAGGUGCCUGUGCCGGUG